GGGGUCGUGGCUCAAAGGUAGAGUGCUCACCUAACAUGUGUGAGGCCCUGGGUUCAAUCUUCAGUAUCACA
rnacentral:tRNA from 1 species